CUCAACGGGAAGCCCUCUAAGUGGUUACAUAAGGUAACCUCUUCCCGGGUGCCUGUCUACCUCGACAGUGAGGAACAGCAGGACAUCUUGUUUGCUUAUCUGAGAGGAGUGCUGGAUAGAACACCAACAGAAUUGAGCUUCACAGAUGAAGUGCAGUUCAUCUGUGAUGUUCUUUUUCCGGAGGCCAUCAUAUAUGCCCUGGCUGCCCUCCGGAAUUUGUCCUUGCAGGAGGCUGAGCAGGUCUUCCUUUCUGGUCCAUAUUAUCAUUUCAGUGAAGUGGAAGAAUUCAAUAGAAAGAUUGACAAACAAUUGAGGAAAGAAGGGAGAUCAUUCAAUUGGUGGGUAUUGCUCUUAUGUACUUACACAUUUGAAGUUUGUGAUUAGAUGUCAGUAACAUGAAUAUUCUGUUUGGCUCUCUCUCUAAAACUCCAACAGUGCAUAAGUGUUAAAUCAGAUAUAUAUAUAUAUAU